GGGGUGGAAGAUGAGAAAUCGUUGGAAGCCCUGAAGAGACGGAAGCUGCGGUACCCGGUGAGUGGCGAACGGGUGAGUAACACGUGGGUCAUCUGCCCUAAAGUGGGGAAUAACAGUUCGAAAGGACUGCUAAUACCGCAUGUGGUUCCGCGAGGGACGAAAGGGGCGCAAGCUUCGCUUUAGGAUGAGCCUGCGGCCGAUUAGCUAGUUGGUGAGGUAACGGCCCACCAAGGCGAUGAUCGGUAGCUGGUCUGAGAGGACGAUCAGCCAAACUGGAACUGAUACACGGUCCAGACUCCUACGGGAGGCAGCAGGAAGGAAUAUUGCACAAUGGGGGAAACCCUGAUGCAGCGACGCCGCGUGAGUGACGAAGGCCUUCGGGUCGUAAAACUCUUUU
rnacentral:rRNA from 1 species